GGUUAAGUGAAUAAGGGCGCACGGUGGAUGCCUUGGCACUAGGAGCCGAUGAAGGACGGGACUAACACCGAUAUGCUUUGGGGAGCUGUAAGUAAGCUAUGAUCCAGAGAUUUCCGAAUGGGGGAACCCAAUAUCUUUUAUAGGAUAUUACUUUUCAGUGAAUACAUAGCUGAUUAGAGGUAGACGCAGAGAACUGAAACAUCUUAGUACCUGCAGGAAGAGAAAGAAAAUUCGAUUCCCUGAGUAGCGGCGAGCGAAACGGGAAGAGCCCAAACCAAC
rnacentral:rRNA from 1 species